rnacentral:misc_RNA from 1 species
UCUUGUUUUUGCUCUGGUAAAUGGAGCAAGGAUAAUAGAGUACUAUCAUUGGGAACACUUGCGUGUAGUAUUUGGUAGGGAUUGAAAUUUUAAUGAACAGGUGAACACCAUGGGACUUGCUAGUUUAUUUUUGUAAUGAUCAUUUUGAUUGUUACACAGUUAUGUUGCUUCUGUUAUGGAUACGAGGAAGCUGCUUUACUUUAUGGUGUUUAUUUAUUAUUUUUC